rnacentral:lncRNA from 1 species
CUACGAUAGACUCAUUCUAGCCCACCAGCCUACUCUUCAUGAAAGGAGACCAGGCAAAGUCUGUCAUUCAAGUGUUGUUCCAACACUCAACUUGUAACAUGGUAUACUCUCUGAUUCUGGUGCCAACAACGAAAUGUCACUGUGUUUGUUCAAGGUUUUGUGACUUGGCUGGGUAUGAGGCACAAGGGAUCUUUGGCAACAGAAGGCUGGUGGGAAGGAAAACGGAAGCCAGCUCUUCAGGAACACCCACCAGUGGAAUGGAAGGUUUCCAGCAGAAAUUGUCACCUGGUGAGAAGCAACAAUUACUUAACUACGAAUAUCAGGUGCUUAAUACAUGUUUGCUGACUGAACAAAUGGUUGUUAUCUUGGAGUCCGGAAAAAAGAUGGAAAAUAAAACAACAAAGGAGAGACCCCUUGGAUUUGCGUGUUACUCCCAGAACAACCUUAGAUGAUUUCCUGUGUGAAGAAUAAAGAGAUGAGCAGUGAAGAUGAGCA